rnacentral:rRNA from 1 species
AGAGUUUGAUCCUGGCUCAGGACGAACGCUGGCGGCGCGCCUAACACAUGCAAGUCGAACGAGCGAGAGAGAGCUUGCUUUCUCAAGCGAGUGGCGAACGGGUGAGUAACGCGUGAGGAACCUGCCUCAAAGAGGGGGACAACAGUUGGAAACGACUGCUAAUACCGCAUAAGCCCACAGCUCGGCAUCGAGCAGAGGGAAAAGGAGCAAUCCGCUUUGAGAUGGCCUCGCGUCCGAUUAGCUAGUUGGUGAGGUAAUGGCCCACCAAGGCGACGAUCGGUAGCCGGACUGAGAGGUUGAACGGCCACAUUGGGACUGAGACACGGCCCAGACUCCUACGGGAGGCAGCAGUGGGGAAUAUUGCACAAUGGGGGAAACCCUGAUGCAGCGACGCCGCGUGGAGGAAGAAGGUCUUCGGAUUGUAAACUCCUGUUGUUGAGGAAGAUAAUGACGGUACUCAACAAGGAAGUGACGGCUAACUACGUGCCAGCAGCCGCGGUAAAACGUAGGUCACAAGCGUUGUCCGGAAUUACUGGGUGUAAAGGGAGCGCAGGCGGGAAGACAAGUUGGAAGUGAAAUCUAUGGGCUCAACCCAUAAACUGCUUUCAAAACUGUUUUUCUUGAGUAGUGCAGAGGUAGGCGGAAUUCCCGGGUGUAGCGGUGGAAUGCGUAGAUAUCGGGAGGAACACCAGUGGCGAAGGCGGCCUACUGGGCACCAACUGACGCUGAGGCUCGAAAGUGUGGGUAGCAACAGGAUUAGAUAACCUGGUAGUCCACACCGUAAACGAUGAUUACUAGGUGUUGGAGGAUUGACCCCUUCAGUGCCGCAGUUAACACAAUAAGUAAUCCACCUGGGGAGUACGACCGCAAGGUUGAAACUCAAAGGAAUUGACGGGGGCCCGCACAAGCAGUGGAGUAUGUGGUUUAAUUCGACGCAACGCGAAGAACCUUACCAAGUCUUGACAUCCCUUGACGAACAUAGAAAUAUGUUUUCUCUUCGGAGCAAGGAGACAGGUGGUGCAUGGUUGUCGUCAGCUCGUGUCGUGAGAUGUUGGGUUAAGUCCCGCAACGAGCGCAACCCUUACUGUCAGUUACUACGCAAGAGGACUCUGGCAGGACUGCCGUUGACAAAACGGAGGAAGGUGGGGAUGACGUCAAAUCAUCAUGCCCUUUAUGACUUGGGCUACACACGUACUACAAUGGCGUUAAACAAAGAGAAGCAAGACCGCGAGGUGGAGCAAAACUCAGAAACAACGUCCCAGUUCGGACUGCAGGCUGCAACCCGCCUGCACGAAGUCGGAAUUGCUAGUAAUCGUGGAUCAGCAUGCCACGGUGAAUACGUUCCCGGGCCUUGUACACACCGCCCGUC